rnacentral:rRNA from 1 species
GAAUGCUGACAUAAGUAACGAUAAAGCGGGUGAAAAGCCCGCUCGCCGGAAGACCAAGGGUUCCUGUCCAACGUUAAUCGGGGCAGGGUGAGUCGACCCCUAAGGCGAGGCCGAAAGGCGUAGUCGAUGGGAAACGGGUUAAUAUUCCCGUACUUGGUGUUACUGCGAAGGGGGGACGGAGAAGGCUAUGUUGGCCGGGCGACGGUUGUCCCGGUUUAAGCGUGUAGGUGUGUGUUCCAGGUAAAUCCGGUUCACUUUAACACUGAGGCGUGAUGACGAGGCACUACGGUGCUGAAGUAACAAAUGCCCUGCUUCCAGGAAAAGCCUCUAAGCAUCAGGUAACAUCAAAUCGUACCCCAAACCGACACAGGUGGUCAGGUAGAGAAUACCAAGGCGCUUGAGAGAACUCGGGUGAAGGAACUAGGCAAAAUGGUGCCGUAACUUCGGGAGAAGGCACGCUGACACGUAGGUGAAGUGAUUUACUCACGGAGCUGAAGUCAGUCGAAGAUACCAGCUGGCUGCAACUGUUUAUUA